AUGUGUAUUAUAUUUGCCACCACAACUGAGGGAAUUAAUUCAUGUAAAUCGGCCAGCCACAGCUCCAAGAAUACGCGGAGGAGGUGGCCCGGGUCGGCGUCGGCGCCAUCCGGCGCGGGCCACGGUCCUGCUUCCAAGUGUAUCUGCGCGCUGGCCACCCACACCGGGUCCUUCAAGUGCCGCUUCCACCGCACCAACUCCCAGGGCCAUGGCCAUGGCUAGGGCCAGGGAAGCCGCCCUUCUUCGCCCCCUUCACCGGCCGCGGCCAACGCGGUGCCGCGGCACCCGGCCUUGCCGUCCUCGUCCUCCGGCACCGUCGCGACCUAG
rnacentral:rRNA from 1 species